AACGAACGCUGGCGGCAUGCCUAAUGCAUGCAAGUCGAACGAGAUCUUCGGAUCUAGUGGCGCACGGGUGCGUAACGCGUGGGAAUCUGCCCUUGGGUUCGGAAUAACGUCGGGAAACUGACGCUAAUACCGGAUGAUGACGUAAGUCCAAAGAUUUAUCGCCCAGGGAUGAGCCCGCGUAGGAUUAGCUAGUUGGUGGGGUAAAGGCCUACCAAGGCGACGAUCCUUAGCUGGUCUGAGAGGAUGAUCAGCCACACUGGGACUGAGACACGGCCCAGACUCCUACGGGAGGCAGCAGUAGGGAAUAUUGGACAAUGGGGGCAACCCUGAUCCAGCAAUGCCGCGUGAGUGAUGAAGGCCUUAGGGUUGUAAAGCUCUUUUACCCGGGAUGAUAAUGACAGUACCGGGAGAAUAAGCCCCGGCUAACUCCGUGCCAGCCGCCGCAGUAAGAC
rnacentral:rRNA from 1 species